rnacentral:tRNA from 1 species
GCGCCAGUAGUCUAGUGGCAGGAUUCGAGCUUCCCAAGCUCGCGACCUGGGUUCAAAUCCCAGCUGGCGCA